rnacentral:lncRNA from 1 species
CAUAAGAUGUGGGCUAGCCAGGUGCGGUGGCUCACGCCUGUAAUCCCAGCACUUUGGGAGGCCGAGGCAGGCAGAUCACCUGAAGUCGGGAGUUUGAGACAAGCCUGACCAACAUGGAGAAACCCCAUCUCUACUAAAAAUACAAAAUUAGCCAGGUGUGGUGGCACACGCCUGUAAUCCCAGCUACUCGGGAGGCUGAGGCAGGAGAACCUGGGAGGCAGAGGUUGCGGUGAGCCGAGAUCGCGCCAUUGCUCUCCAGCCUGGGCAACAAGAGCUAAACUCCGUCUAAAAAAAAAAAAAGAGAGAGAAAGAAAAAAAAGAUGUGGGCUAACUGCACAGACCUAGAAAGUUGCGGGGCAGGAGCAUCAAGGAUCAGGACAUUACUGGUGUGUUAUCAGCAUUGCCCUGCUUCUGAUCAACAGGGUGGACAGCUUAGGAGCCAAGGGAAAACUUCCCCUUUAUCUUCUGAAGUUUUGUUAUAAAAUCAGCUGACAGAAGGCAGAUUGCUAGGAGGAAAGGCUUACACAUCUAUUAACAUGCAUGGGGAGAAUCACAGGGUGGUUACCCCACCAUGCAAUGGGGUGCAGAGGCCUUUAUUCUCCUCUUAGGGGAAAGGGAGAUAAGGAAGUGUGCAUUAUUUUAGGGGGAUAGUAAAUAUUUUUUAGGGAAAUUCAACGGGCUUGAAGAACAUACAAUGGUCUGGGACAGUCUGUUGGUUUGUGACAAAGACAGCUUCUACCAGGGCCAAUUUUAUAGCUAAAAAAUAUAUUUACAGCUAGAAAAAAAAGGUCUGUCCAGGCAUGUUGACCGACUUCAGUCCUCAUUCCUGUGAUGAGAGUUCAGCCGUUUGAAACUCAGGGAAGGGAUCGGAGACAGAAGAUUGGGAGACAGGAAGGAGGGGAAGGUCAGAGAGACCUGGAGGCU